GCGGUGUUUCCCUGGUCACUUGGAGGCCGGAGGGGCCGGAACGAUGGCGGCAGCGUCCGGUAUUGUUUGCUGUAUGCUACACUGAGCCCAAAGAAGGGGCCACUGUGCCCUUUUUGCAACAACAGCCUUGGAAGCUGUCCCACCUCUCGGCCUGGCUGGAGUUCUCCUGAGUUCAGGUGGUCUCCCACAGAAGACCCUCACCUGUUUUACAGCCACCAUGACAGACAAGCUGAGAUGUAAGAAGCCUCUCCAUCAAGGACUGAGACAUGAAACCCCUAUGUGAGAAGGCCCCUCUGCUCCUUCCAAGGACUGGGACUGAGACUCCCAGCCCGGGGCAGGUGUGUGGGGGAGGCAAGCUGACCAAAGCGAGAUGUUUGCCUGCAGGUGUGACCACUGGACCAAGAAGGCAAUGGCUCUUGCUUACUACUGAGAACAUGGACUACCUGUUACAUCUAUUCCUUAUUGUAUCUGUUCCCCCCGCCCCCCAUCACAAUUUUCAAUAGAAUUAUCAUAAUAAAAACCUCUGAGUUAGCUAGA